CAUGAUUUUACACAUGUGGGGAUUUGGCCUCCCAGGUAGAAAGAAAAGGACAGGGAAAGAACAGAGUAUACUUUCUGAUUAUUUUAUGUUUCUUAUGCUCUUAUUAGAUACAGUUAUAAUAAGAACAAAGAAAAUCAGCCACAAACCGUGCCUUCUUCUUUCUCCUAGAGAAAUCUGACAGAAUAUUUUGUGGCUGUGGAUGUUAACAACAUGUUGCAUCUGUACGCCAGUAUGCUGUACGAACGCCGGAUACUCAUCAUUUGCAGCAAACUCAGCACUCUGACUGCCUGCAUCCACGGGUCUGCGGCGAUGCUCUACCCCAUGUACUGGCAGCACGUGUACAUCCCCGUGCUGCCGCCG
rnacentral:lncRNA from 10 species